rnacentral:rRNA from 1 species
GAUGAACGCUGGCGGCGUGCUUAACACAUGCAAGUCGAGCGAGAAGUUUUGAAAAGAUUCUUCGGAUGAAAUUUAAAAUGGAAAGCGGCGGACGGGUGAGUAACGCGUAGGCAACCUGCCCCAUACAAAGGGAUAGCAUUUGGAAACGAAUAUUAAUACCUUAUGAAACUUAACUAGUGCAUGCUAGGUAGGUCAAAGAUUUAUCGGUAUGGGAUGGGCCUGCGUCUGAUUAGCUAGUUGGUAAGGUAACGGCUCACCAAGGCGACGAUCAGUAGCCGACCUGAGAGGGUGAACGGCCACAUUGGAACUGAGACACGGUCCAAACUCCUACGGGAGGCAGCAGUGGGGAAUAUUGCACAAUGGGGGAAACCCUGAUGCAGCAACGCCGCGUGAACGAUGAAGGCCUUUGGGUCGUAAAGUUCUGUUCUAGGUGAUGAAAACUGACAGUAACCUAGGAGAAAGCCCCGGCUAACUCCGUG